CUUGUUCUUUGUUGGUUCUUUCUCCUUGGAGAAGCAUUGGAUUGAGGAUUGGAGCUCGUGGAAAGGAAGAUCUUCAACCCUAGCUCACUUGCUAGUUGGAAUUGGAGCUUUAGAGAGGUUGGACUUGAAGAGAUUUUGCUCCCAUUUGAAGAUUGAGAGAGGUUUUCUUCACUAUUGGGAGCUAGGAAAGUAGUGGGCACCUUCGUCGGCACAAACGAAGGGCUACGAGGAGUUUCGAGCCCUCUGCACCGGCGGAGGUACGGGAUCGUG